rnacentral:rRNA from 1 species
AGGACGAACGCUGGCGGCGUGCUUAACACAUGCAAGUCGAGCGGAAAGGCCCUUCGGGGUACUCGAGCGGCGAACGGGUGAGUAACACGUGAGCAACCUGCCCCUGGCUCUGGGAUAGCCUUCGGAAACGGGGAUUAAUACCGGAUAUUCACUGCUUCCUGCAUGGGGGGUGGUGGAAAGUUUUUCGGCUGGGGUGGGCUCGCGGCCUAUCAGCUUGGUUGGGGGGUGACGGCCCACAAGGCGACGACGGGUAG